rnacentral:rRNA from 1 species
UACGGAGGGGGCUAGCGUUGUUCGGAAUUACUGGGCGUAAAGCGCGCGUAGGCGGAUCUGCAAGUCGGGGGUGAAAUCCCGAGGCUCAACCUCGGAACUGCCUUCGAUACUGCGGGUCUCGAGUCCGGGAGAGGUGAGUGGAAUUCCUAGUGUAGAGGUGAAAUUCGUAGAUAUUAGGAAGAACACCAGUGGCGAAGGCGGCUCACUGGCCCGGUACUGACGCUGAGGCGCGAAAGCGUGGGGAACAAACAGG